CAAACUCCAGAGUUCUGUUAUCGGAGCAUUUUACUAUUACAGCAGCUGUAUCAUAUGGACAUUUAAGCUACUUUAAAGAAAAUUAACAAGUAUUAAUGCAAUAAUAAUUAUUUUUAAAUAAAAGUGUAGCUACUUCUUAAUUUGGAAGAACAGAUUCAAGCAGUUUACGUAACAAAAUCCUUGAAACUCUUUUAGAGAGCCUUGAAAUCCAGGAUGGAUACUCACAUUCAGUCCAGACGAUAAUCACGGCCCAGAACAGCAACACUGUGACACUGCAGAGUCCUGCCAUAAUCACAGAGACACGAGAGGAUCACCACAGAGUCCAGACAAUCCAACAGUGAAGCAGUGGGCAGCCACCAAUCCAGCGCCCGGGAGCAGUGUGUAGGGACGGUACCUUGCUCAGGGGUACCUGAGGGUAGCCAUUCAGUGGAUUUGAACCCCCGACCUUCCGAUCAUGGGGCUUUUAAACUGAGUGUGGAUCCUUUUUAAUCCAGAGGACUUGGCGUCCAUGUUUUCCAAAAAGAAUUAAACAUCGCCCCCCGAGGACCCAAAGAUCACAGCAUGCAGCACUGACUGUCAGGCCUGUCUCCUGCACACAGAGAUUUCUCCACAUUUAAUGAAUCUUUUGUGGAUAUUUUUUCCUGUAGAUGCUGAGAGCUUCUUCCCAGUUUUAUGCUGAGAAAUAUUACUUGGAAACUGGUGCAGCUUUUUGCACAGCGGUGAAACUUUAUCCUUCAUUUGCUGGAGACAUUUUCCAAGUUGGGCCAAUUAUUCAUAAAGUGCUCCUCAAUCUGUUUCGUUUUUACUUUUCCAUCAAUUUGUUGAACCUGUCAGAAGUUUGUUGUUUCUGUCAUCUAAUUCAACAUUUUUCAUUAAAUAUUAAAAUAUCUCCGAUCAGACAUUU
ensembl:lncRNA